GAUGAACGCUGGCGGCGUGCUUAACACAUGCAAGUCGAACGGUGAAGCAGGAGCUUGCUCCUGUGGAUCAGUGGCGAACGGGUGAGUAACACGUGAGUAACCUGCCCCAGACUCUGGGAUAAGCGUUGGAAACGACGUCUAAUACCGGAUACGAGACGAGAAGGCAUCUUCAUCGUCUGGAAAGAAUUUUCGGUCUGGGA
rnacentral:rRNA from 1 species